GAUCUUGGGUUGGACUUGGAGUUGCAUAACGUUGCCCAGUUGCUAACCCAUCCUGGACAAAUUGCGAUGCCAAGACGAUCCAAGUCGUCAGCAACAGCGGUGCGAACAUCCUGGGUCGAUGCUGCGAGCCUUUCCCAGCUGUGUUCAUGGAAUACACAUGCAUCCAACCGUACCAGGGACUAUGGCGUCCGGUCCAGGCGAAAUUCAAGCUUUCUCCGCUGAUUUCUAAACCCUUCUGACCGCAAUAUUGCAAGUUCAUCAAAGAAGACACGAACCAUCUUACAAACUGAAAAUUAUUAUUCAUACUACUUUUGUUCACUAAUCUCCAGCAAUGUGCAAGUCGUCGAGUUACAUCUAAAGAAGUACCUCGCUGUGCAGCAGAUGUUUAUUGUUCGUGAUCAGAUCAGGAUAUUCCACGUUCGUCGUAAAUACUGUUGGAGAAGCCUGAAGAAAUAUUUCCGUUUCCAAACUCAUGUAUAAAUGGUACAUUAAUAUAAUAUAAAUUAUGUGUAAUAUUGAUUUAAUUUAAAACUUAUAUAUAUUAAUUUAAAGAAUCAAUGUCCAUUAUUCGAAAUACACAUUUAAAACAGUGGUAGUACA